AACACACUCCUUAGAUCCACCUUUUCAGGAUGUAUCUGUUUAUCUAGAAGAUCCCUCUGGUGUUGGGUUCGCUGGUGAGUUCGCAGGUUAUGUUCAUCAACUUCAUUGGUUAUACUGUUGAAGGUUCUUGAGUCAUUGGUGUGUAAGAGUAUAUACCUGCAUAGUAGUUUCUCUGUUCUGAUGUGAAUGACCUUUUAUUCUAGGUUAUUUUCUGCCAUCAGGACCUUGCUGCUGUGUGGACAUG